CUACGGGUGGCACCAGUGGGGAAUAUUGGACAAUGGGCGCAAGCCUGAUCCAGCAAUGCCGCGUGAGUGAAGACGGCCUUAGGGUUGUAAAACUCUUUCGCUAGGGAAGAUAAUGACUGUACCUAGUAAAGAAGUCCCGGCUAACUCCGUGCCAGCAGCCGCGGUAAUACGGAGGGGACUAGCGUUGUUCGGAAUUACUGGGCGUAAAGAGUUCGUAGGCGGACUGACAAGUUAGAGGUGAAAUCCCAGGGCUCAACCCUGGAACUGCCUUUAAAACUGUCAGUCUAGAGACCGGAAGAGGUUAGGGGAAUACCUAGUGUAGAGGUGAAAUUCGUAGAUAUUAGGUGGAACACCAGUGGCGAAGGCGCCUAACUGGUCCGGUACUGACGCUGAGGAACGAAAGCGUGGGGAGCAAACAGGAUUAGAUACCCUGGUAGUC
rnacentral:rRNA from 1 species